rnacentral:tRNA from 1 species
ACCUGGGUGGUUCAGUGGGUUGAGCAUCUGACUUCAGCUCAGGUGACGAUCUCACAGUUCGUGGGUUUGAGCCCCACGUCGGGCU